CCAAUCUUUUAGCGGACCUUGGCUUUGUCCAUGGUCUCGCAAAAACUCUGUAUUUAAAACCCACUCAUAAAUUAAAACAAUAAUUGUUAUUAUUAUAAUAAUUAAGA
rnacentral:misc_RNA from 1 species